rnacentral:tRNA from 1 species
GGGACCUUAGCUCAGACUGGGAGAGCGCCACGCUGAAGACGUGGAAGUCCUGGGUUCAAAUCCCGGAGGUCCCA